rnacentral:rRNA from 1 species
ACACGGUCCAGACUCCUACGGGAGGCAGCAGUGGGGAAUAUUGGACAAUGGGCGCAAGCCUGAUCCAGCCAUACCGCGUGGGUGAAGAAGGCCUUCGGGUUGUAAAGCCCUUUUGUUGGGAAAGAAAAGCAGUCGAUUAAUACUCGGUUGUUCUGACGGUACCCAAAGAAUAAGCACCGGCUAACUUCGUGCCAGCAGCCGCGGUAAUACGAAGGGUGCAAGCGUUACUCGGAAUUACUGGGCGUAAAGCGUGCGUAGGUGGUUGUUUAAGUCUGUUGUGAAAGCCCUGGGCUCAACCUGGGAAUUGCAGUGGAUACUGGGCGACUAGAGUGUGGUAGAGGGUAGUGGAAUUCCCGGUGUAGCAGUGAAAUGCGUAGAGAUCGGGAGGAACAUCCAUGGCGAAGGCAGCUACCUGGAC